GACGAACGCUGGCGGCGUGCCUAAUACAUGCAAGUUGAGCGCUGAAGGUUGGUACUUGUACCAACUGGAUGAGCAGCGAACGGGUGAGUAACGCGUGGGGAAUCUGCCUUUGAGCGGGGGACAACAUUUGGAAACGAAUGCUAAUACCGCAUAAAAACUUUAAACACAAGUUUUAAGUUUGAAAGAUGCAAUUGCAUCACUCAAAGAUGAUCCCGCGUUGUAUUAGCUAGUUUGUGAGGUAAAGGCUUACCAAGGCGAGGAUACAUAGCCGACCUGAGAGGGGGAGCGGCCAAAUUGGGACUGAGACACGGCCCAAACUCCUACGGGAGGCAGCAGUAGGGAAUCUUCGGCAAUGGACGAAAGUCUGACCGAGCAACGCCGCGCGAGUGAAGAAGGUUUUCGGAUCGUAAAACUCUGUUGGUAGAGAAGAACGUUGGUGAGAGUGGAAAGCUCAUCAAGUGACGGUAACUACCCAGAAAGGGACGGCUAACUACGUG
rnacentral:rRNA from 1 species